CUGGUGAAUUGCAGAAUCCCGUGAACCAUCGAGUCUUUGAACGCAAGUUGCGCCCGAGGCCUCGGCCGAGGGCACGUCUGCCUGGGUGUCA
rnacentral:rRNA from 1 species